CCCUCCCUUCUUUAAUUCAUAAAAAAGUCCCUACGGCAAAGCUUUUGUCCACACUAGGUACAAAUGAUAGGCAAUUGCCUAAGGUUGCCUGGACCCAAAGACCCAGGUGGGUAAAGUUACGGAACUUUUUUAAUUGAGGUCCAAAGUUGGGGUAGGGUGACCCAACCCCCUCCCUUCUUUAAUUGAUAAAAAAAUCCCUACGGCAAAGCUUUUGUCCACACUAGGUACAAAUGAUAGGCAAUUGCCUAAGGUUGCCUGGACCCAAAGACCCAGGUGGGUAAAGUUAUGGAACUUUUUUAAUUGAGGUCCAAAGUUGGGGUAGGGUGACCCUACCACCACCAAAUUUUAAUUCAUAAAAAAGUCCCUACGGCAAAGCUUUUAUCCACACUAGGUACAAAUGAUAGGCAAUUGCCUAAGGUUGCCUGGACCCAAAGACCCAGGUAGGUAAAGUUACGGAACUUUUUUAAUUGAGGUCCAAAGUUGGGGUAGGGUG